CCUGUCUUGACAUCCUCGGAACCCUGCAGCGAUGCGGGUGCUUCGGAGCCGAGAGACAGGUGCUGCAUGGCUGUCGUCAAGCUCGUGUCGUGAGAUGUUGGGUNAAGUCCCGCAACGAGCGCAACCCUUGCCCUUAGUGCCAUCAUUUAGUUGGAACUCUAAGGGGACCGCCGGUGACAAAUCCGGAGGAAGGUGGGGAUGACGUCAAGUCGUCAUGGCCCUUAUGACCAGGGCUACACACGUGCUACAAUGGUCGGUACAGAGGGUUGCCAACCCGCGAGGGGGAGCCAAUCCCACAAAGCCGAUCGUAGUCCGGAUCGCAGUCUGCAACUCGACUGCGUGAAGUCGGAAUCGCUAGUAAUCGCGAAUCAGCCAUGUCGCGGUGAAUACGU
rnacentral:rRNA from 1 species